rnacentral:rRNA from 1 species
AUUGAACGCUGGCGGCAGGCCUAACACAUGCAAGUCGAGCGGAUGAAGGGAGCUUGCUCCUGGAUUCGGCGGCGGACGGGUGAGUAAUGCCUAGGAAUCUGCCUGGUAGUGGGGGAUAACGUCCGGAAACGGGCGCUAAUACCGCAUACGUCCUGAGGGAGAAAGUGGGGGAUGUUCGGACCUCACGCUAUCAGAUGAGCCUAGGUCGGAUUAGCUAGUUGGUGGGGUAAAGGCCUACCAAGGCGACGAUCCGUAACUGGUCUGAGAGGAUGAUCAGUCACACUGGAACUGAGACACGGUCCAGACUCCUACGGGAGGCAGCAGUGGGGAAUAUUGGACAAUGGGCGAAAGCCUGAUCCAGCCAUGCCGCGUGUGUGAAGAAGGUCUUCGGAUUGUAAAGCACUUUAAGUUGGGAGGAAGGGCAGUAAGUUAAUACCUUGCUGUUUUGACGUUACCAACAGAAUAAGCACCGGCUAACUUCGUG